rnacentral:rRNA from 1 species
UACAUGGGGUGCAAACGUUGCUCGGAAUUAUUGGGCGUAAAGCGCACGUAGGUGGUCGUUUAAGUCGGAUGUGAAAGCCCUCGGCUCAACUGAGGAAGUGCAUCCGAAACUGAAUGGCUAGAGUACGGAAGAGGGUCGCGGAAUUCCCGGUGUAGAGGUGAAAUUCGUAGAUAUCGGGAGGAACACCGGUGGCGAAGGCGGCGACCUGGGCCGAUACUGACACUGAGGUGCGAAAGCGUGGGGAGCAAACAGG